GUCUCUAAAAUCAAGUCUCCAUCACCAGUGGUCAUUCCACAACGAGUCACAAAAAUCGAGUCAUUCUCAAAAGUUCGUUUUGAAAGCGUCACUCUUUGAGUCAUUCCUCGAAAAAAAAGAGAGAGAGGAAAAUGUCAAUUCAAUCGCCGGGGUUUCCAAUACAACCCUAGAAAAUGUCAAACACAAUCGUUGAGAGGUAAUUCUUUAAUACCUCGUCUCCAC
rnacentral:lncRNA from 1 species